rnacentral:lncRNA from 1 species
CCUCAACUGCCGACUCCUAUAGCCAAAAGCCACCACCUACUAUUAUCGUCGGUCAUCCACCACCCGCCACCAGCGCCGUCACCUUUAUCUAGCAGCAGUCCAGAUUCUUCAAAUACCAACACAUUCAGUUUCCAACAAACAAGAGUUUAUAUUACCCAAUUCGUUUCCAUAAAUCCCAACAAGAAAACACAAAAAACAAGAAGAAAAAAAAACAAAGAUUCUCCAUUCAAACAACACAGUUGAGAAAGACCCAGUUUAGAGAUGAAGCUAAUAUGCAUCUAGUUUGGAGAUAGAAAAUGUGCCCGAGUUAGAUUGUAUUCUUUCCCAGCAAUCCAACCCCCAGUUUCAAAAUUACUG